rnacentral:rRNA from 1 species
AAGUCGUAACAAGGUUUCCGUAGGUGAACCUGCGGAAGGAUCAUUAACCUUUCAAAAAACAGGGUGCGUCGCGGCCCCCCUCCGGGGGCGGUUUGGGGUCCUCCCCUUCACGCGCGCACGACUGCAUCCUUACUUUACGAGCACCUUCUGUUCUCCCUCGGCGGGGCAACCUGCCGUUGGAACCGAAUAAACCCUUUUUUGCAUCCAGCAUUACCCGUUCCGAAACAAACAAUCGUUACAACUUUCAACAAUGGAUCUCUUGGCUCUGGCAUCGAUGAAGAACGCAGCGAAAUGCGAUAAGUAGUGUGAAUUGCAGAAUUCAGUGAAUCAUCGAAUCUUUGAACGCACAUUGCGCCCCUUGGUAUUCCGGGGGGCAUGCCUGUUCGAGCGUCAUCUACACCCUCAAGCUCUGCUUGGUGUUGGGCGUCUGUCCCGCCUCAGCGCGCGGACUCGCCCCAAAUCCAUUGGCAGCGGUCCUUGCCUCCUCUCGCGCAGCACAUUGCGCUUCUCGAGGGGCUCCGGCCCGCGUCCAACAAGAAAACAUUACCGUCUUUGACCUCGGAUCAGGUAGGGAUACCCGCUGAACUUAAG